rnacentral:tRNA from 1 species
UCCUUUGACAGGUAGAACGGCGGACUGUUAAUCCGUAUGUCACUGGUUCGAGUCCAGUCAGAGGAGCCA